UGGGGAAUCUUGCACAAUGGGGGAAACCCUGAUGCAGCGACGCCGCGUGAACGAUGAAGCCCUUCGGGGUGUAAAGUUCUUUCGACGGGGACGAUAAUGACGGUACCCGGAGAAGAAGCUGCGGCUAACUACGUGCCAGCAGCCGCGGUAAAACGUAGGUGGCAAGCGUUAUCCGGAUUCACUGGGCGUAAAGCGCGUGCAGGUGGCUUCGUAAGUUGGACGUUAAAUCUUUCGGCCUAACCGGGAGGUGUCGUUCAAUACUGCGGGGCUUGAGGGUAGAAGAGGGAGGUGGAAUUGCUGGUGUAGUGGUGAAAGGCGUAGAUAUCGGCAGGAACACCUGUGGCGAAAGCGGCCCCCUGGUCUGCUCCUGACACUCAGACGCGAAAGCUAGGGGAGUGAACG
rnacentral:rRNA from 1 species